UAGGCUCACGUCUUGGUUUGGUCACUGACUGCAGUCUCAGACCUAUAAAACAACAUCAUGUAGAGUGGUGCUCAAAGGAGCUGCUUCUCUUUUCUUUUUUGUCUUCUUUAAUUGAAGUGCAGAAACAAGAUGGACAAAAUGGACAAAAUGGUCUAAAACUUUGGAACUUUGGAAAUGGAUUUAUUUUCCAUUGUGACAUUUAGAAGAGUUUUGGGGGUUUUAAGAAGAUUCUUCAUAACUAGCAGAAAAACAUCACAGCUGAGUCUGGACAGAACGUCACUCUAACAUGUCGAGCUCCAAACAACAACAUCAUAGUUGUAGAGUGGAGCAGAGCUGAUCUGGAACCAGAACAUGUGUUUGUGUAUCGGAAUGAGCAGUUUGACCCAGACAACCAGCAUCCAUCCUUUAAGAACCGGGUGGAUCUGCAGGACAGACAGAUGAAGGAUGGAGACGUGUCUGUGAUUCUGAGGAACGUGACCACUGAUGACACUGGAACCUACAAGUGUCGUGUCCUCAUGGAAGAAACAAGCUUGUUGGAGCUCAUCAGCAUCAUCUACCUGAGAGUUGCUCCUCCAGGUCAAAGACGAGGACUCACAGAGGAUGGAAGGAACAAGACUGGAUCUGUUGGAGUUGGUCAGCCAGUUUCUGCUGUGCUUCUUGUUGGUGCUGUUUUUGCUUUUUUUAAUCUAUAGAAAAUAAAAAAGCAGAACUAGGAAUGUUUGAAGUGUCUCAGAGCUUUUUUACAGGUGAACUUUGAGACUCCAGGUCUUCUAAGCCCUCAGUGUAGUCAUUCAGUUUUCAGGGUAAUUCAUUCAUAAUAUGUUUUAGAUUAACGUGUGGGUAAUGGUAAUAAAUCAGUGUCAACAAAACCACAUCCAUAUGCCGCAUUGCGGUGCAGGCGGCACGGGUUCGAGUCCCGGCCUGUCACCAACUUGCCCGCAUGUCUUCCCCUGUAUCUUUCCCCCAUUUCCUGUCUCCCUCCACUGCCAGUA